AAAAGUUGAAAAGGUUUCGCCAAAUACAGCAUUGUUUUUAUGCCCGGGAUAAGAACAUUCUUAUUAUAUAGAACAAUUCAUGCUAUUGCAAACAGUAAAUUUUAUCAAAUGAAUAUGAAAGAGAUAUACAUAAAGAAACUGAAGUAUUAACUAAUUACAGAAAACUAAACCCGAAUACAUAACGCCCAGAUAUAAAAGAUCGAAAGUGAAAAAGGUACAAAGUUGUACAGCACUGAAGAUAAAAAGUUGAAAAGGUUUUGCCAAAUACGGCAUUGUUUUUAUGCCCGGG
rnacentral:lncRNA from 1 species